rnacentral:lncRNA from 1 species
CAGAAUUAUUUCAUCGAGUUGGAGGCAGCUGUCAAUCGCCUGGUCAAUUUGUAUCUGUAGGCCUCCUACAUCUCUCUCAUUCUGGGCUUCUAUUUUGACCACAAUGAUGUGGCACUGGAAGGCACUGGCCACUUCUUCCACAAAUUGGCUGAGAAGUGUAAGGGUGCAGAGGAUCUCUUGAAGUUGCAAAGCCAGCAUGGCAGCCACAUUCUAUUGCAGUAGAGACGGGGUUUCACCAUGUUAGCCAGGAUGGUCUCAAUCUCCUGACCUCAUGAUCCGCCCACCUUGGCCUUCCAAAGUGCUGGGAUUACAGGCGUGAGCCACCACGCCCAGCCUCAAAUUUAAAUUUCUUAAAAAGAAAUUGGAAUGGCUGAGGAUGGUGGCUCAUGCCUGUAAUCCCAGCACUUUGGGAGGCCGAGGUG